rnacentral:snRNA from 1 species
AAUGUAGGCAAGGGAAGUC